rnacentral:pre_miRNA from 1 species
AAAGUACUCCCUCCGUCCCAAAAUUCUUGUCUUAGAUUUGUCUAGAUACAGAUGUAUCAAGUCACAUUUUAGUAUUAGAUACAUCCGUAUCUAGACAAAUCUAAGACAAGAAAUUUGGGACGGAGGGAGUAGUUG